rnacentral:rRNA from 1 species
CAGCCGCCACGGUAAUACAGAGGGUGCGAGCGUCAAUCGGAUUUACUGGGCGUAAAGCGUGCGUAGGCGGCUUCUUAAGUCGGAUGUGAAAUCCCUGAGCUUAACUUAGGAAUUGCAUUCGAUACUGGGAAGCUAGAGUAUGGGAGAGGAUGGUAGAAUUCCAGGUGUAGCGGUGAAAUGCGUAGAGAUCUGGAGGAAUACCGAUGGCGAAGGCAGCCAUCUGGCCUAAUACUGACGCUGAGGUACGAAAGCAUGGGGAGCAAACAGGAUUAGAUACCCCUGUAGUCCCUGUCUCUUAUAC